AUGGAGCUCCCACUGAUCUGGGUUCUCCUUGUCACCAUUUUCAAAGGUGUCCAGGCUGAGGCGCCGCUGGUGGCGACUGGGGGAGGCUUGGUGCAGCCUGGGGGGUCCCUGAGACUCUCCUGUGAGGCCUCUGACUUCACCUUCAGUGACUCCUUUGUGCAAUGGGUCCGCCAGGCUCCAGGAAAGGGGAUGGAGUGGAUCGCGGAAAUCAGCGGCAAUGAUGAUAGCACGUCCUACAUAGACUCUGUGAAGGGCCGAUUCACCAUCUCCAGAGACAGCGCCAAGAAUACGCUGCACCUGCAAAUGACAGAACUGAAAACGGAGGACACGGCCGUGUAUUACUGCAUAAAAGACACAGUGAUGGGAUGUCAGUGUGAGCCCUGA